ACAAGACGGUGGAGCACGUGGUUUAAUUCGAUGCAACGCGAAGAACCUUACCUGGUCUUGACAUCCCGGAGACCCUUAGGAAACUAGGGGUGCUUCCAUCUGGAAGAAUCUGGAGACAGGUGCUGCAUGGCUGUCGUCAGCUCGUGUCGUGAGAUGUUGGGUUAAGUCCCGCAACGAGCGCAACCCUUGCCUUUAGUUGCCAGCAGUUCGGCUGGGCACUCUAAAGGGACUGCCGGUGUUAAACCGGAGGAAGGUGGGGAUGACGUCAAGUCCUCAUGGCCUUUAUGACCAGGGCUACACACGUACUACAAUGGCCGAUACAAAGGGCAGCGACACUGCGAGGUGAAGCCAAUCCCGUAAAAUCGGUCUCAGUCCGGAUUGGAGUCUGCAACUCGACUCCAUGAAGUUGGAAUCGCUAGUAAUCGUGGAUCAGCAUGCCACGGUGAAUACGUUCCCGGGCCUU
rnacentral:rRNA from 1 species